GAUGAACGCUAGCGGGAGGCCUAACACAUGCAAGCCGAGCGGUAUUGUUUCUUCGGAAAUGAGAGAGCGGCGUACGGGUGCGUAACACGUGUGCAACCUGCCUUUAUCUGGGGGAUAGCCUUUCGAAAGGAAGAUUAAUACUCCAUAAUAUAUUGAACGGCAUCGUUUAAUAUUGAAAGCUCCGGCGGAUAGAGAUGGGCACGCGCAAGAUUAGCUAGUUGGUGAGGUAACGGCUCACCAAGGCGAUGAUCUUUAGGGGGCCUGAGAGGGUGAUCCACCACACUGGUACUGAGACACGGACCAGACUGCUACGGGAGGGAGCAGUGAGGAAGAUUGGUCAAUGGGUGCAAGCCUGAACCAGCCAUCCCGCGUGAAGGACGACUGCCCUAUGGGUUGUAAACUUCUUUUGUAUAGGGAUAAACCUACCCUCGAGAGGGUAGCUGAAGGUACUAUACGAAUAAGCACCGGCUAACUCCGUG
rnacentral:rRNA from 1 species